rnacentral:rRNA from 1 species
AGUGAACGCUGGCGGUAGGCCUAACACAUGCAAGUCGAACGGCAGCACAGUAAGAGCUUGCUCUUACGGGUGGCGAGUGGCGGACGGGUGAGGAAUACAUCGGAAUCUACUUUUUCGUGGGGGAUAACGUAGGGAAACUUACGCUAAUACCGCAUACGACCUACGGGUGAAAGCAGGGGAUCUUCGGACCUUGCGCGAUUGAAUGAGCCGAUGUCGGAUUAGCUAGUUGGCGGGGUAAAGGCCCACCAAGGCGACGAUCCGUAGCUGGUCUGAGAGGAUGAUCAGCCACACUGGAACUGGAACAGGGACCCGGGGCCUACGGGAGGCAGCAGUGGGGAAUAGUGGACAAUGGGCGGAAGCCUUAUCCAGCCAUACCGCGUGGGUUGAGGAGGCCCUCGGGUUGUAAAGCCCGUUUGUUGGGAAAGAAAAGCAGCAGGUUAAUACCCCGCUGUUCUGACGGUACCCAAAGAAUAAGCACCGGCUAACUUCGUG